ensembl:lncRNA
GUAAGUUUAUACAUAAAGUAAUUUAAUUUUACUGAGAAAAAUUACAGUAUAGAAGAAAAUGUCAAUUUAGUCAUAGUCUCUUAAAUAGUAUGCUUCAGUUUCUGAAUCAGUGAAUAACAAUCACAAUCAUUAGUACAGCAUUUAAUACAGAUGUUAUAGGUAGUUACAGAUUUUGUUUACUAAAAUUGAAGAGUUGAGUGAUGGCAAACUUUCUUCAAGAUAACAUAAAGGAAAUUGAAUAAAAUCUGUAACUUUACAUGGUUUUAACCCUAUUAGCUGUACAUACUUUCUACUUAAUUAGCAUUGAUAUACCACUUACAUACCAGUGAGGAAAAAAAUAGAUCAAGUUCUUGAACUUUAAACAAACAAGAGGAAGACAUAACCCUUCAUACAUGAGCCAUGUAAUGUAACACCAGCUCCCUAUUUUCUGUGAGGCAUGCAGUGCUGCACAGAAAAGUGGUAUCUUUGGGCAGCAAUACCUGAGCCAGCCUAGGUCCUGGAAUGCAUACAACAGUCUAGCAUGCCGAAAUUCAUGAACAAAACCCCACCUUCUGUGGAGUCUCUUUUGCUUUUUAAUGUUAAAGUGCCUUGCAAACCCAGCUAAACUGCUCCUCAGGACUGAAGUACAGCUUCCACAUACGGCAAUGCCGUGCAGACGUAGUAUAGUUACUUAAGGAUUCUGUUUUAAGUAUAGACAAGAAGUAUUUGCUGAGAGCUCUUAAUCAUGCAGUUUUGUGUACUCUUCCUGCAUAACAAGAGUAUGUAGCUAACCAGUAAGACAUAAAUGGUUCAUACAGCUAAUUUAGUAAUUUUGCUCAAGCAUGCUUAAAAAAAUUUGCAAAGUAAGUUUUUCUCACAGUGGGAAGUGAGUUAGAGAACUGGGUUUGCAGGAUCUAUUUUCUUAAAAAGCUAUAAAUGCCUUGUUUUAAAAUUACUCAUGCUCCAUAAGCUGUAAUCAUUUUCUUAAAGGCACAGAACUGUAAUGGAAAUGAGAAGCUGGUUCUUCUGAGAACAAUAUAAAGGCUUAACAGUGACAAAAUACUCCGUGGUGUUGUCAGUAAAUUUCAUAGUGGACCUACUCAAAUUCAAACAUUCUGUACCCUGUGAAAUAUUGAUAAUUACUUUAAAAACAAGCUUUUUUUUUUCCUGCAAGUACUGAAGGAGGAACUGAAAACACUUUUACUUCGUUCCCAGAAGUAUUCCAGAGCUGAUAACAAUCUAAAGAUAAGGGUUUCUGUAAAGCUGAAUCUAUACAAAAAGUCUAGCUUAACCUAAAAUUUUCGACGACAAACCAAGUUAAAACCCAAGCAUUUAAUUUUAAUGUAGUACUACUAAUCCAGAAUACUUUCUGUUGUACAAUCUUGAAUACAGCCAGUGAAAUUGCUACAUAUGGUAUCUUCCGUGUACAAUCUAGUCAAAACAGUGAAAUGCACACACAGCACAAAUCCUACUGCAUCAGUGCUUAUGUACAGGAUUAAGAACAGUGCAAACACUAGCAUUUAGCCUACUUUCAUUCUCAAACUACCCUAUUGCUGUCAAUACAUAAGAACAAAAACUAUUAUCAAGAGUAGUGAUGUUUCCAAGCCAAAUCUACUGUAAAAGCACCUUCAGUUAGUUUGUAGAAAUGUAUCAUAACUUAAAUAAAUUUGGUUGCUUCAAAAGCCAAAAUACGGUAUUAACAAAAACAAUCUAAAAUUAUGAAGUCAUGUAUAAGCACCAGAUUAUUUAACGUUUACAGUGCAAGACUCGAUUUCUUUAAAUAAAUUGAUCUUAAAUCCACAGGAGAGGCUAUUCUACCAGUUCUCAAUAAUGUUGAGCUUUCUAACACAGUUAGAGUAUAACCUCCUGGUUUAAAAGAUUAAAGCACCUGACUUCACCUCUGAAAAAAAUUCUGCUGCUCAGAAUUUACAAAAAAACCCAGGUAGGCGAGGAUUAAACAGCCCAAACAACUAGAAAGCCAGGCACCCAUGGAGCAGCAGUGCUGUCUUGCAUCACAGGACAUUAGGGCUUGGAUUCUUAGUGUAGACUUGCUCUUCACACCGAAUGACAGGACUGCUGCUAUGAACUGCAAAUCCAAAAAAGCAACUCUACUACAGUAAGUAAAAGUUGAAAAAAAAAAUUUCUUAAUCUAAAAUGACAAUGCAAGAGCAAGUCUGUUAAGAAUAGCCAGACCUGAAGCCUGCUUUGUUUUUAAAAAGAACUGUUAAUAACAGCCACAGGUAGGUGAAGGAAAAACACAGAAAGUAGAGUUCUCAGAACACCAAAUUAGGAAAGUUGGAGCACAGCAGAGAAGUCUGGAACUGUGACUAGACCCAGAAUCUUACUGGAAGCUAUUUAUGCAAGUUUGGUCUAAAGAAUUUACAUUGUGUUAAAAAAAUAUUUUAAUUGUGUAAUAAACAAAGCUAUUGCCCUUUUUUUUCCCAGUACCACUGUUUCCAGACUUCAAACUGUAUAUGACACAGCUACUUUCAAAAGCAUGCAUGUCAGUUGGUCAAAGAGUGGAAGUUAACAACACUUCAGCACAGAACAUACAUCAUUCCAUCAGCCAGAUGACUCUUCAGUCUGAGUUCAAAGUUCAGAGCGUUCUGUGAAGGACAGUGCUAAAAAUCUCACACUAAAACAGGUAGUUUAUGUAGUACUAGAAACCACAAACUAGUACUAGAUUCCCAGCACCCACACAUUUGUAGUUUUUUCGUUAAAUGUUUGUUUAUUCCGCAAGUUCUUUAAGUUCAAGAAUAUUGCAUGACCAUUUAUAAUCUGAAUAAUCCCAUACAGGCAAGCAUUUCUAAAUGAGCAAUGUUUGGUUUUCAAGUAUCUUGAUAUCAGCUCUCCAGUUUGACAUGCACACAGUUGUUUCUCUGUGUCUAGCUCCCGUAAAAUAAAAGCUCAAGGAACUAAAUUCUGUAUCUCAGUUGUUAUUUCUUCACUGUUUUACAGAGGAUAAUGUAAACUAUACUUCUGAACUUAAAAGUAAUUAUAAAAGGAUGGUGAAAUAAAAACAACAUGGACAAUAGUAAACAAUUUAAAAUGUUCACAGUGCAGGGCAUAAUGGAACCCAUAAGGUAGAUCACAUGCCACCACACUUAUAUUGUUUUAAAAAUCUUACUGAGAAAGCAGAAAGCAAUGCUACAACAAGAAACAGUACCCUUAUACAAAAAAAAGUAAAAUUUAUUGCAUAUUUAUCACAUUUAUUUGCAACUCACAUUAAGGCUAGAUUUACUAAAAUCAUGACAUAUGUAUAAACCCCACUUUGGGUUGCUUAAUGAAGCAACCAAUUUCUCUUACACUGAACCAAUCUUUCACUAAGAAGAGAAAAAAAAAAAUGACCCAGUGAAUACAGAGGGCAGGCAGCCUCUCCUAUUUAUAGGACACGCUUGCUUUGUUCAACAGAUUUCCUCUGUCUGGGAGUUGAUUUCCCAAAUAGUUGACAGAAACUCCAAAUUCACUGUUUCAUUAACAUCCCCUUUAUUUACAGAACACUAGAUGAAAAAUAACUAAUUUAUCUGAAAAGUCAACUUAUUUAUUAAAGAUUUCCACAGCCUGAUAUUUAAUCAUGCCUUAGGAGAGUCUUACUAACUCCACAGGCAGUAGCAGCCUAAGGUUAUGAAUACAAACUUCUGCCUCACCAUGAGUAAAGGCACUUUUGCUGGGAAAUCAACUACUUGCACUAAAGAAGUAACUAAAGAUUAGUUUUCACCUGAAGCUGAGUAACAUAACCUCUUCCAGCAUUAUCCCACCUUCUCAAUUACUGCUUUUUGCCAUUUACUGUUUUGAACAGCCUUUGGAUACUUUUUUUCUUUUUACAAAGUGAGACAAAGCUAGAUUGAGCUAUUUCACCAUUUGGUCUUGAAAGACAAGGCCCUCAGGACUCUUGUCUUCCAGAAGGAGGAAAUGCUGCAGUCUGUUUCUCCUGACUGAUACAGAAGUCCAGCAUUCCUACCACCAAGAUUAUUACAGCAUUAAGAGUCCCAAACCACCUGGUGCCAGGCAAGUAAAUAAACC